rnacentral:lncRNA from 1 species
CUCAACUUUAAUGUUCUGAGUUCUAACUUUUAAGAAUUAUAUAAAAAGUAUUAUCCUUUUGAGUUUCAUUGGUUUUCUAUAGCUUUUUGAAAUAAUGAGCUCCCUUUACACCCAUACCAUGUGAACAAAGUUGUCCCAAAAUGGCUGCCAUGAUACUCUUAAUGCUUUCUGUCCCAAUUUCCCCACCUUAUCUACCUGUUUCCCUAUGUGAAGAAAAAAAUAUCAGCUAUAGCCUGGACUCAGGCUAUAGAUGAACCCAGG